CAGUCGCCGCGGUAAGACAGAGGAUGCAAGCGUUAUCCGGAAUGAUUGGGCGUAAAGCGUCUGUAGGUGGCUUUUCAAGUCCGCCGUCAAAUCCCAGGGCUCAACCCUGGACAGGCGGUGGAAACUACCAAGCUGGAGUACGGUAGGGGCAGAGGGAAUUUCCGGUGGAGCGGUGAAAUGCGCUGAGAUCGGGAAGAACACCAACGGCGAAAGCACUCUGCUGGGCCGACACUGGCACUGAGAGACGAAAGCUAGGGGAGCAAAUGGGAUGAGAUACCCCGGUAGUCCCUGUCUCUUAUAC
rnacentral:rRNA from 1 species